AUAGUACUCCCUCCGUCCGAAAAUACUUGUCCCAUAAAUGAAUAAAAUAGAUGUAGGACAAGUAUUUCCGGACGGAGGGAGUAGUAC
rnacentral:pre_miRNA from 1 species